rnacentral:lncRNA from 1 species
GAUGGUUGAUCAAUGAUUAAGAAUCAUUCUAGGGUUAAACGAUCAAUACGAUUGACAUUAAACCUAGUACAAAUGUUACAUGAGGAUCGAUUAGUAAUUCGAUUGCUAAUUGGCUUAAUUUGAUUAAGUCAAUGGAUUGAGAUUAAAUCUAAUUGAAUAUGAUUUAAUUAGAUUUGAUUUGGACUUGAUUGGAUCAAGUCCAAUUGAUUUAUUGGAUA